rnacentral:lncRNA from 1 species
CUUGAGGACAAUCUCUUGAAGACAGUCAGCUGGGAAAGGCUGAAUUGAAGGAGGCAGUUGGCCAAGGCUGCCUUGAAGGGUCUCUCUUGGGACUCUCUUGGGGACAUUCUGAGAGAUUCAGAUUCAGGAUUGAGCUGGUGCCUCUCUGAUCACUAGAAUCCUUGCUUGGACAGAUCUUGUGAGUCAUCGAAGUCCAAUGAAAUAAGUCAAGAUGACUGGUGAUAGCUCAGGAUGCAGUGAAUGAGCUUGGCUUCCUUGAUGUCUGGCGAAGUUCUAAGCACUUCAUAGUUUGGAAAACUGAGGCACUAACCAGUCCUCCAUGGUACUUCCUGGCUAUCUCACCUCCUCCUCAACAUGCCUACACUUUGGGACCUCAUCUUAUUUCACCUGAAUAUAAUCAUGGACUCUGCCUCUGGGUCACCAGUUUUGAUAGAGUCGUCAAAAUUCAGUGGCAAGACAAAAGUCAGGACAACUGGGGAUGGUCCAGGAUGCAGCGGAUGUCCAUGGCAUCUUUGAUGUCUGACCAAGCUCCAAGCACUCCACAAUAUCUGCUUCAGCCACCUGCAUGGCCUCUGGAACAAAUUGCUUUCAUCUGCCGGUUCUGCCAGGGGAAGUCCUUACAUGCUUGGCAUAGACAUCCCUGCUAAUUUACUGCUUGGAUUGUGGUCUAUCACUUUCCUUGAACCCAAUCUAUUAUUUAUUUAUUUAUUUUUGGAUAAAUUUAUUUAAUUAAUUUAUUUGGAAUAUUUUCCAUGGUUACAAGAUUCAUAUUCUUUCCUUCCCUUGCCCCUACCCCCUUCCCAUAGCCGAUGUACCCUUCCAAUGAGUUUUACAUGUCAUUGAUCCAGACCUAUUUCCAUAUUACUGAUAAUUUCACCAGGGUGAUCGUUUAGAGUCUGCAUCCCCAACCAUAUCCCUAUUGACCCACGUUAUCGAGCAGUUGUUUUUCUUCUGCUCCCACAGUUCUUCCUCUGAAUGUGGAGAGUGUUCUUUCUCAUAAGUCCCUCAGAACCUUGAACCUAAUUUAGCUUGUCUGUCAGAUGGUUUUGCCAGGACUCCAGCUUCUUGGAGCCACAGGUGAGAGUUGGCUGAAUGAAAGGAGGAGGGUGAGCAGCCCUGGAAAGGGCUUGGCAAGCUCCCACACCAAAGGGGCUAGUUCUCUC